GGAGUAGUGGCUCAGAGGUACAGCAUUUGCCUAGCAUGCAUGAGGCACUGGGUUUGAUCCCCAGUAUCCCA
rnacentral:tRNA from 1 species